UGGUGUUUGGCUGAUCGGAAAGCACUGGCACCUCUAUGCCAGAGUAAGUCGGUUCGACUCCGACAGCACCUU
rnacentral:tRNA from 1 species